AGGGAAGGUUCCAGACCCUCCCUUAUUCUCCAAAUUCUAGCAAUUUCCAGGGACUUAUCCAGAGGAGAAAUAAGUCAGAAGAUCCUGUGAAGACAAGACUAUCCAAACCAAUCAUGCUGUGUUAGUUCUUUUAAUAAGGUACAAGAGUUGGAGGUGAUGUCUCUGUUGAGGGCUGAUGGGAAGCGAGGGAUGAAAGUUUAAAACAGCUGAUGAGAGUGGGAGAAGACACAUACUGAAAGAGCAGCAGGACAAGAAAAAAGAUUACUGAAGCCCAGGAGAAGCUGUGUAUUUGGGUCAGCAUCCCGAGGCAUAAAGCAGGGCAGCAAAAGAAUGAGAGGAGACUACAGAGGAAAUGAAAGUGACACCAGAUGAUCUGAAAGAAUUAAUGUCUCUAAUUUUCCAAGUAUCUGAGGGUGGCUAUCAAAUUCUCCGCUCCAUCUGUUCUUCUCGGCCGGAGCCUACCCGCUCCUUCCGCUGUUCUCAGAUGACCUGGUUUCCAGACCUCUGCCUGGUGGAUGGCCACCCUCUUCUGGUUGUUAAUAUCUCUUUUAAAAGACAACACCCAGAAAGCAGCUCCACUCCACACUGUGUCCUGGUGGUUUCCUGUCUCACACACUGCCUUGAUCUGGGCAGCACAUCUCUGUCUAGCCUUGAUGCUGCUUGACCUUUUCAGCAACUGCAUCAAGCACAGCACUCACAGAGGCGUUGCCAUGCCUUCUUCAAGAAUUGCCUGAAGUCUCACCAUGUGUCAAGAUGCAUGCUAAGUGCUACUCGUGUAAAAAUAAGACACACUUCCUGCCUUCAAUGACACUAUGGUAAGAGCUUCCAAUCAAAACAUCAGCAAACACACCAAGUCUCCUGCAUUCUAUAAUUUCAGAUCUAAAAUUUCUGCAUCUUUUAUCUCUUACAGCAUCUAACAUUUUCACUGUCAAGACCAUUUUGAAUCCUGUCUGUCACCCAUCAUGUUAGCAUUCAUUCCUAGACUUAUGUUAUCUAAACAUCUGAUUAGCAUGCCUUUUCUGAUUUAACUCAAAUGACUGAUGAAAAGGUUGAAGGUGGCAGAGCCAAAAUGCAGCAAUCUUGGAGGCCUCUCUCUAUAACUGAUAUCAAUCUACUAAUCAACAUCUUGAGCACUGUGAGCAACUGAAGGCAGAGGGUGCAGACAGACGGGAGUCAGAGCUGGCUU